GGUGUGAUUAAGUUCCUGGAAUGUAUAAAUAAUUGUUUUUUAAUUGUUAUAUAGCAAUUAAAUUUUACUAAUAUCGGUCUGCAUUUUAUAAUAGUUAUUAAGUGUGCAUAGAAACAUAAAAAUAAGAAUGGCGACUGAAAUUAAUGAUAAAUGUGCUCUGAAAAAACUUACUGUGGAAUCUUUAUUGGGUAGUUUUUCAUUUAACCACGAAGAAAGAAUUAAAGCUGAAGACCAAAUAAAAAUACUUGAGACUAUGGAUGAUUUUGGCCUAAUUCUUACUGAAAUCACAAUAGAAGUAUCAUUUCCAGUAGAUCUUAGGCAGCUAGCUUCUGUUCUUUUAAAACAAUACAUAGACUGUCAUUGGUCUUCAUUAUCUGAAGAAAAGUUUCGUCCACCAGAAGUUAGCCCUGAUGUAAAAUCUUUGAUCCGGCAGAACUUACCCAAUGGUUUGCAAGAUGAAAAUAGCAAAAUUCGUUCCAGCGUGGCCUAUGCCAUGUCAAAAAUUGCAUCAUAUGAUUGGCCAAAUGAUUGGCCUGAUUUGUUUAUGUUGCUUAUGCAAGCAUUACAUAGUAUGAAUCAAAAUGUAAUUCAUGGAGCAAUGCGUGUGUUUUCAGAAUUUGCAGGUGAAGUCAGUGAUUUGCAAGUUCCACAUAUUGCUCCUGUUAUUUUACCUGAAAUGUUGAAAAUAUUUUCACAUCCUGAGAUAUACGGUAUUCGAACAAGCUCCAGAGCUGCUUCAAUUUUUUCUACCAUUAUGGGACUUAUUGGAUUAAUGAAAGAAGUGAAUAAGGGAGUGGACAAGCAUUUGCUGAUGCCUUAUUUGCCUCAGUUCUUAGAGGUUUGUAGUCAUCAGCUCACUGUUCCUGAGAGUGAAACAUCUGAUUGUGGAUUAAAAAUGGAAGUUUUAAAGGCUUUAGAAGUAGUUGUCAAAAACUUCCCAAGAACAAUAUCUCACUUUAUUAGUAGUAUUUUACCACCUGUAUGGCAGACAUUUACUCAGAGUGUUGAUAUAUACAUAAAGACUACAGUUAAUUGUGUUGAUUUAUCAGAAGAUCCGGUUGAUGAAGAUGGCGAAAUACUCAGCUUUGAGAAUUUAGUGUUUAGUAUAUUUGAAUUCAUCUCAGCAUUAGUUGAAAAACCAAAGUUUAAAGAAACUGUUGAACAAUACCUAGAGGAUAUUUUAUUCUACACAAUGGUUUAUAUGCAAAUUACUGAUGAACAAAUAAAUUUAUGGUCAAAUGAUCCAAAUCAAUUUGUUGAAGAUGAAGACGAAGAGACAUUUUCAUAUUCAGUUCGCAUUUCAGCCCAAUAUCUGUUACUGAGUCUAUCAGAAAAUUUUAAAAGUGCUAUAAAAAAGUUAUGUAAUGCUGUUGCAAGAUUGAAGCGCAAGUCUGACGAACUGCGAGCUCAAAACAACAUGGGCUGGUGGAAGUACAAUGAAGUUUGUUUAAUUUCUCUUGGCUAUGUUCAACCAAGUGUAGAAGAAAAACUAGAAUCUGGUGAAAUACCCCCUGAUUUUAGGAAUUUUCUUUUUGAAAUGUUGUCGUCAUCAUUGAGUUCACAAGGCACACCUUUUUUGCUUGGUCAAUCAUUCUGGUGUGCUAGUCGAUAUGUUGCAAUAUUAGAUGACAAUGGUUUACAUCAAACUAUUCAAGCAACAGUUCGAGCACUACAAGAUGACCAAUGUCCUGUGCUUAGAGUAUUUGCUGUUAAGUCUUUAUUUGGGUUUUGUGAAUUUCUUCAAAAGAAUGAAAGGCAUGGUGUUAUUAUAGAUAAACUUGAAAGUAUUAUGUCUGGAUUAAUCUCACUUGCUACACAUUAUAGUGACAGUGUGUUAGCUAUAACCCUAGAAACUUUAGUGAUUGUAAUAAAAGUCAAUGAAGAUUUUACAUCAAGAAUUGUUGAAUCAGGAAAUUUGCUACCAUUAAUUAAUGCUCUGUUUAUCAAGUAUGGAACUGAUCACCAUUUAAGUCCAAUUAUUGAAGAAUUUAUAAAUGAACUCGUGUCUAUUCCUUUAUGUUCGCAGCAUGUAUUGGAGAAAACAGUUCCAACUUUAUUAAGCAUACUUGAAGCUUCUAAUGAAAAGAUACCAUCAGCUAUAAUUCCGCCUACAUUAGACAUUAUUACAAAGAUUGUUCGUAAUGGGCCUAAACCAUUAAAUGAAGUAUUCUUCAAACGAUCGUUUCCACAUGUCAUUAAAAAGAUUAUGGAUUCUGAUGAUGCAGCUAUAUUACAGAGUGGUGGAGAAACUUUACGAGCUUACAUAGCAUGUGCUACCCAUGAUGUUGUCUUGUGGCAAGAUUGUUCUGGCCAAAAUGGUUUGUCAUAUAUUGUGACUGCAACUUGUAAACUUCUUGAUCCUCGUUGUAAUGAAAGUAGCGCUAUGUUGGUUGGCAAACUUGUUAAUACACUUGUUUUAAAGGCAGGAUCAAUGUUAGGAGAUAAUUUAUCAAUUAUAUUAAGAUCAGUUCUCAGCAAAUUGCAGCAAUGUCAAUAUUUUACUAUUACUCAGUCGCUACUUAUGGUAUUUAUUCAACUGUUGCGAAAUCAAUUAGAGGCAACCUUGGAAUUUUUAAGCAUGGUUCCUGGACCUUCUGGAAAUUCUGCAUUAGAUUAUAUUUUAAGUGAGUGGUGUGCAAAACAUUCUAGCUUUAUCGGAGGAUAUGAGAUUAUAUCGAGUAUUGAUGCAAUUUGUAAGUUACUUAUGUAUAUCGUGGCAACUAAUGAUGUUCGAUUUGAGACUAUUCAUGUUAAUGGUGAUGAAAUAAUUAAUGGAGAAGGAAGAGUGUUACGGUCUCAUUCAAAAAAAAGAAGCAGAGUUCUCUAAGAUACCAGUGGCUAUAAAAUUGUUUAAAUUGGUUGUUGCUGAAUUAGUGCAACUAGAGCUUUCUGAAAAUGCAGAAGGUGAGGAGGAAGAAGACAGUGAAGAGGAAGAUGAUUGGGAAGAUAUUGGAGAUAACUCAAAUGAAAUAACUGUUCAGCAAGCGAUUGAGGCAAUACUUAGCCAAGGAAAUAAGUUUGAAG
rnacentral:misc_RNA from 1 species